rnacentral:tRNA from 1 species
AGCUCCGUAGUGAAUAACACGUCAAAUUGCAAAUUUGAAAAAGUUCCUGUUUUUGGUUCCGGGGCUU